CUCUCCCCACUUUCCAUUCUCUCCUUUCCCCUUUUCCCUUUCUCUCUCUAUAUUAUCUACAUAUAUGAUGUUCUUUUUGUGGGUUUUGGAGGUGAUGAAGGGACGAUCUUGUAUGGUACUCAACAUGUAUUUGUAAAAAAAAAAAGAAAAAAAAGGUUUAAUAUUAUUAAAAUUAUUUCUUUCAUUUUUAAAGCUUAUUUUGAUGUUAAAAUAUGUUUAUUAAUCAAUCACAGUUAGCUUUUUUGACAGAAAUCAUAUAUGCUGAGGCUGCACUUCCAAAAUCUGUUCAUCCAGUUAUCUAUUUGUUUGCACUGUACUUUACUUCUUUCUAUAUUGAUGCCAAAAUUUCAGAUGAAUUUUAGUUGUAUGAUUUACAUUGAUAAAGAUGGACUUAAAUUGCUUGCACAGUGUGCCUUUUGCUU